UUCGGAUUGUAGUCUGCAACCCGACUACAUGAAGCUGGAAUCGCUAGUAAUCGCGAAUCAGAAUGUCGCGGUGAAUACGUUCCCGGGUCUUGUACACACCGCCCGUCACACCAUGGGAGUCGGAAAUGCCCGAAGUCAGUGACCUAACCGAAAGGGAGGAGCUGCCGAAGGUGGAGCCGGUAACUGGGGUGAAGUCGUAACAAGGUACC
rnacentral:rRNA from 1 species